AGCUGGAAUCGCUAGUAAUCGCGAAUCAGAAUGUCGCGGUGAAUACGUUCCCGGGUCUUGUACACACCGCCCGUCACACCAUGGGAGUCGGGAAUGCCCGAAGUCAGUGACCCAACCUAUUGGAGGGAGCUGCCGAAGGCAGGUCUGAUAACUGGGGUGAAGUCGUAACAAGGUACC
rnacentral:rRNA from 1 species